ACGAACGCUGGGCGGCGUGCCUUAACACAUGCAAGUCGAGGGGGGUGGAGCAAUCCACUCACCGGCGAACGGGUGCGUAACACGUAAGCGACCUGCCCACGAGCGGGGGAUAGCCGGCCCAACGGCCGGGUAAUACCGCAUACGCCUUCCUGGUGGCAUUGCUGGGGAGGGAAACUUGAGGGGCUCGUGGAGGGGCUUGCGGCCUAUCAGCUAGGUUGGCGGGGUAACGGCCCACCAAGUCGAUGACGGGUAGCUGGUCUGAGAGGAUGGCCAGCCACAUGGGACUGAGAGACGGCCCAGACUCCUACGGGAGGCAGCAGUGAGGAAUCUUGCGCAAUGGCCGAAGGCUGACGCAGCGACGCCGCGUGGAGGAUGACGCCCUUCGGGGUGUAAACUCCUGUUGCCCGGGACGAACGACCUGAUUCGUCAGGUGUGACGGUACCGGGUGAGGAAGCACCGGCUAACUCUGUGCCAGCAGCCGCGGUAAUACAGAGGGUGCGAGCGUUGUCCGGAAUCACUGGGCGUAAAGGGCGCGUAGGGCGGCUGGCUAAGCGGGUGGUUGAAAGCCCGGGGCUCAACCCCGGGUCGGCCAUGCGAACUGGUCAGCUGGAGCACGGUAGAGGCACAUGGAAUUCCGGGUGUGUAGCGGUGGAAUGCGUAGAGAUCCGGAAGAACAACCGGUGGCGAAGGCGGUGUGCUGGGCCGUGGCUGACGCUGAGGCGCGACAGCGUGGGGAGCAAACAGGAUUAGAUACCCUGGUAGUCCACGCCGUAAACGAUGGGCACUAGGUCCUUGGGGGAGCGACCCCGUGAGGGCCGGCGCUAACGCAUUAAGUGCCCCGCCUGGGGAGUACGGCCCGCAAGGCUGAAACUCAAAGGAAUUGACGGGGGCCCGCACAAGCGGUGGAGCAUGUGGUUUAAUUCGACGCAACGCGAAGAACCUUACCUAGGCUUGACAUGGCCGGGAAAGCCAGGGGAAACCUUGGCCCCUCUUCGGAGUCCGGUCACAGUGCUGCAUGGCUGUCGUCAGCUCGUGUCGUGAGUAUGUUGGGUUAAGUCCCGCAACGAGCGCAACCCUUGUCACUAGUUACCAGCGGGUCAUGCCGGGCACUCCUAGUGAGACUGCCGGUGCCAAACCGGAGGAAGGUGGGGAUGACGUCAAGCCAUCAUGGUUCCUUACGUCUAGGGCUACACACGUGCUACAAUGGACGCGACAAACGGGUUGCCAACCCGCAAGGGGGGAGCCAAUCCCACAAAUGCGUCCUCAGUUCGGAUUGUCGUCUGCAACUCGACGGCAUGAAGCUGGAAUCGCUAGUAAUCGCGGAUCAGCUACUGCCGCGGUGAAUACGUUCCCGGGCCUUGUACACACCGCCCGUCACGCCAUGGAAGCUGCGAGCGCCCGAAGUCCGUGCCGAAACCCGCAAGGGAUCAAGCGUCCGAAGGCGAGCGCAGUGACUGGGGCG
rnacentral:rRNA from 1 species